GGUAAGAAAAUACUAGUACCAAGUAGCUAUGCUUAUGUUUUUGCAAGAUUUCCAUCGGUCAUUAACUUGAUUUUCUUAUUUUUCAAUAGAAAUAUCAUACGAUCUCCGUAAAUGAAUAGUAUGGAUUAUAGGAUGAAUUACAAAUGUUUGCCUGGUUGACAAUUAUUGUUUGCAGAGGACAAGGCAAAGGAACCCGAACAAUAUGGAGGUCGGUGUCGUUAUGGCUGCUGUGGUCGUCGGGGCCCCUAUGGUUGUAGUAAGUGCUGCAGAACAGGUAAUAGUUGCACCAUUCAAAGAAACAGGAUUUAAAUGCGUGAACAGUAUUUGUAACUUAAAAAGUUGUGUUGUCCAUGUAGCUAAUGAAGCUGAAGCAACCCAAGUAAACGCUGACAUCAAUGGCAAUGAAGGCGGUGGACAUGGUGGUGGCGGCGGCUAUGGAGGUGGUGGCGGCGGACAUGGUGGUGGCGGCGGCUAUGGAGGUGGUGGUGGUGGCAGCGGAGGUGGUCAUGGUGGGGGAGGUGGUCAUGGUGGUGGAGGUGGAUAUGGUGGGCACUGCAGGUACGGCUGUUGUGGUGGCUAUGGCAAAUAUUGCAGGUGCUGCUACAACCCUGAAGAAGCUCAAGCUUUUGUACAAAAUGAGAACUGAGCCAAGCCAUAAAUCAAGGAAACUUCCAUGUACAAGUUUGCGUGAAUAACUACAUGGUUGAAUGUUGAUCUUAUGACAAAAAUAAAAUACUUAGUACAUGUGCUUCUGUGCUUAGCACAUAUGUAAGGAAUAAAAAGUUUCAGUCAUCAUUUGAUGAUGUGAAUUUCAACAAGUGUCCUUCAAUCCCAUGCCUGGAUUUUUUUUUUUUUUUUUUUUUUUAAAUUUGACAUCUGCUACUUGUCAUGUUUGUCUUUGCUCUUAACAUUUGCACUUGAAUGCUCCAGUCAAAAUUUAAGUAAAUUUGUGAAAUAAAUAAAAAUAGCAACACCAGACCAAUCAUUCAUGAUAGAAGUAGGAAGUAGGAAGCCAGAGAGAUAAUUGGAAAGUACACUCGAUUAAAGAAAAAACAACGAAAGCCACAUAAAAUCAGAAAAAAAAAAUUAAAUCGAGUGUAAUUGGCAGGGUACGUAUUCAUGCCACUGAUGGAGGCAAUGUAGUUGCAGGAAUUGCUGGCUUUGUGGGCUAUGACCAUAUAGAGUUGUAAGUAAUUUCUCACAGUAAAUGUUCUGCUUGUUCGUGGAAACAAGAGAACUAAAGCAUCAUCAGGUUUGACAAAUGCAAGUGCACAUCUUUGGACUUGGGAGUUGGGAGGACUCGGGAGCUAAUACCUACAUAGAAAAUGGGCGAUGGAUGAAGAAAGGUGCUACAGACUUUUUAUGUCCUCCAAUGUGGGUGGCAGAAUACACUUUCCUUGAAGUUGAUCAGCGAGAUUACUUUUGUGAUUGCUGAAAUUCAUGACAAAACGGUUCAACAUCUUCAAUCACAAAUUCGUCGAACUGCAAUUAUAAUCUCAUUGGACCAAACUCGAGUAAGCAAAUCAAAUCAAAUCGCUAAUGUCACUUCUUCCAAGUAGCGCUGACAUUCUAAGAUUGACAAGGAAAUGCAGGCUUUGACUCAUCAUUUACUUAAAGCAGGAUACAACAGCAAAAGAAAUCCAGAAGCAAAGAAUAUGAAACUAACCUGAAAACAAAGAUUUAGUAUUUCACAUUUAGAACAGUUACACGCAAAUCAAAAACAUUUUUGCUGCAUUGGGUCGGUGAACAUCCGUACAAGCAUGUGUUACAACAAGAUGUAUACAGUCUCAGGAGUCAUGCUACUAAAGUUUGAUGCCCGAUGCUCUCAGAAGAUAAAAUGGAACUCAGACACGUCGCUGAAGACUGGAGAGUCACUCAUCACUCAAAUGGUGGUCUUCUUAGACAAAGAAAUACCAUUAUCACAGCUGUUUAAGUAAAAUCCAACAGUCAAAGGCAACCAAAAAUAGUUAAAAUGAGGCAUAAAACAAAUAGAUUUCACAUCAGACUUCAACGACACUACUUGUAAGCUUGCAUUUCUGCAAAAGUGACUUAAGAAAGGGUGCCGGAUGAUAUGUUUGAGAAACCAAAGAUUGCAUUAGUUAAAUCCGCAUUUAAAUGCACAUUAUAUACUUAGCCAGUCGUAUUGACCAUCCCAAUUAGUCACGAGAAUCAUACAACUCAAGGCUGAUUAUCAAAUCAAAAGGAGUGGUUUGAAAACACAAAAUUUGGAAAAGAUGGCCAAUGGAAAUGUGGUUACAAGUACGAUUGAAUAUGAGAAACAUAACAAACUUGAUAGAUCUUCCUGCUGAAGUUAUUUGCUUUUCUUUUAAUUAGUUCAUAAAAUGUUAUUCGACUAUAAUAGUCAGCAGAAAGACAUCCAGAAAUUUUCUCACUCCAUAAUUGAAUUUAAGAAAAGAAAUUUAUACUAUAAGUUAAGUCUAUGCCAAUGAACAAGUUGCACAAAAUUAGUCCUUAAAUAACUGAAACACGGCAAGAUAUAUUUAUGAAAUACACCAUACUUGCAAGUAAGCUUAGUCAAUUUAAACAAGAAGAAGCAUCAGAUAAAUAAGAUCGUUUAAUAGUAAGAGGCAAAGGAAAGAAUAUUACCCAUGAUGCGAGCCUUAAGGGUGAUGAGGUUGCAGUCUCUUCAGAAAAAAGGGUCAUACUAAAGAACCAGAAGAGUUCUUAAGCCUUGUCUUAGCGCUUGAAAAAAACAAUAUCUCUGCCGCAGCUAACUUUGAUAGCUUCCUCCAAACUCUCCAUCUGAUCAAAAUCAACUUUGAAGGUUACCAUGGUAACACCAUCUUUUCCAGUGUCAUAAUCUUGCUUAAUGUCUUCAGCCCGAAAUGAUUGUAGCUGCAAGAUACACAAAUGGUGUAUUUGUGAGACAACUGUUUACGAUGUUGAGAUGCACUAAUCACAACCUCAUCAAACAAGUCAAUGCAUUGAUGACAUUUAGCAAACUGGUAAUAUAUGAAAAACUGACGUAUGCUCCACAUGUCAAAAUGACAAUCAAAACAUGAUUUGUCAUGACAAUAUUUGACAGUUAAUUAGCCAGCAACACAACCAGAAGAGAACUUAUAAAUCCUCUGAAUCUUACCUGAUGGUAGAGAACCCCCAAAAGGUCAUAUGGAAUCUCCAAGCCCAUUGGAACCUACAAAUCAAGAUCCUUGUCACAAUAUUUAAUUCAUGAAGCAGAUUUCAAUGUGCAAAGUACGAAGUGGAAAAGAAACUUAUAGAAUUAGACUACUAUUGAUUCAAUAGGCACAAGUUUUAGAGAAUGUAAAAGCCAGCAAGGAUGAGUUGUUACUUUGGACUUGACAAGACAAGUGGGGGCAUUUCUCAAACAAUCAGCAGCAACCCCUCCAUAAGCCCUGACUAAACCUCCGGUGCCAAGUUUAAUACCUCCGAAGUACCUAAAUUAUGAAAUGCAAAAAGAUGAACAUCUUGAAUAGCUUCUCUCCCUAGAUAGAAAAGCCAAAUAACAGACUAAUGGAUGUCAAAAACUUAAUGCAUGUAUCAAAAAAUGAAAAUUGUUACGUAAAAACAACACUCUCUACAUUUCAUUCACAAAAGAAACAUUUGAAUCAGAGCCAAAGGGAAAAAAGCAAUAGCAUGGCCCCAAAAAAUGUGCAACAUUUGUCUACCUGAUCACGACUACCAUAACUCUAUCAAUCCCAGAAGAUUCAAUUGCAGAAAGUAUUGGCUUGCCUGCUGUACCAGAUGGUUCACCGUCAUCAUUACUCCGAAACUGAUCCCCAACCUAGAAUUCACAAAUAACUGCAUUUGCGUCGAAAACAACCAACAAACAAAAGGGGCAAAGAGAAAUAAAAGCCUCAUAAUUGAUUCAAGUACCCCAAGAAUCACUAAUAACUAUCAUACCGGAAAAGAUCAAAUUUUGUACCUUAUAUGCCCAACAAUUAUGAGUAGCCUUGGGGUCACGAACCUUAUUUCCAAACAAAACAAAAAAUAAGUCUUUAAUGGCAAAAAUAAAAAAAUAAAAAAAACCAAAAGUAAAAUGCAAGAAAGAAGAGAGGAAGGAGUGAUUAUUAAUACCUCAGUGAGGAAGGCCUGAGCAGAGCGUUCAUUAGAGAUGGUGCCAGCAAUGGCGAUAAAUUUACUCUUCUUUAUCUCUGUCUGAAAUGUGACCCUUUCUUUAAUUGUGGUAAAGGCACCACCUUUUUUAUUAUUAUUGGGAUUAGAAUCAGACGCAGUGAUGCUAUUGCUGCUAAUGGUGGCCAUUGGCGUUAGAUAAAUACAGGGUUUUGUCUGAAUUACGGAGAACGAGGGAAGAAAACGGUGACGGUGAUUCUGAAGAUUGUGAUGGAGAAGAAGGGCUUUGUUCAGAUUCUUGAAAGGGAUUGAGAGAAUCCGCAUAGAAGCAGCCGCCUGCAUCAGCAAAAACCUUAAUUUCUUUCCAUCUAAAACGUUGUCGUGAUGGUGGAAUUCGAUUAAGGUUUCGUUCUUUGUUUUUUAUGCUCAAUUUUGAGGACAGAAAAAUAUGCAAGCAACAAAAUAGUCUUUAGGAUUAUAGAGCACGCUUUAAAAUAUGCAAGCAACAAAAUAUUCUUUAGAAACAUCGAGGCGUGGAACUCUUGAGUAUUAUAUGGGACGCUUUAGAUUGAGGGCGCAAAAGGAUGGGGAUAUUUGGGGGAAAAAAAAAAAAGUUACCCCACAUUUGUGAUUUGUUACUCGAAUAGACAAAAUUUGGAAAAUGCACUUCCAUCCAUUAAAAAGUAACUUUAAGAAGUUAGCCUAGAACGACAUAUGCAUAAUUUGGCUUAAAUACCUACAUUUUGAGAAUUUCCUUGAAAAUGUUAUUUGCGCCAUUUCUGUUAAUUACACUCCCACUAUUAUUUUAAUCAUAUAAUUUUUGUUUGUUAGAACAUAUAAUAAAACAAAUUAUGCUAGUGCAAGUAACAAAAAAUGAGUGCAAAUAAUAUUUCUCUUUUCCUUUUGCUCAAGUUAUGCAAGUAGUAUUUCCUCUGUCAACGAGCAAUUCUUAGGUUUUUUAAUGAAGGACAACAAAAGUAUGAAAAUACAUAUUCAAAUGAUGUCCAUGCCAAAAUAAGAAGACCACCAUGCAAAGAAAUAUGUCAUUGUGAAUUUUAAUAUUAAAUUAUCAAGGCUUACUGCAAAAUAAAAUGUAAAAGAUCAAUAUGAUGUUAAGAGAUGUGAUUCGCUAACUAAAGGUUUUUUCAUGAUUAAAUUGGAUUGGCACUCCUCAAAAAUGCCCCUUUUCAAUCCAAAAGUCUCAUACUAAAUAUGAAAAUAAAAAAAAAAAAACAAACUAAGAUGAUGGUCUUUUCAUUCGAACCUUCAUUUUGUACUAAACAUAGAACUAGAAAUAAGUUAUAAAAACAUGAUCUAUUCAAGUUUAUGUGAAAAAAGUAAAUUUUUCACAAAAAAAUUUUGCAUGUGCUGAUGAGCCAAAAUAAGCAAAAUACCACACUUUCCUAGUAAAUCAAGCACAAAUGCAAGGAAUUGUUUUUGCUUUCUAAUACUAUUGAAAACUAUAAUUUUUUAUUCGCUUCGCUGUCUCCAUCCCCAACGUCGCUUUGGCCGAGUGGUUAAGGCGUGUGCCUGCUAAGUACAUGGGGUUUCCCCGCGAGAGUUCGAAUCUCUCAGGCGACGACUCUUUUACCUUUUCGGCUUCCGUUUGCUCUUACAAUCUCACCGACUACUUUCUAGUAGUUCUUCACUUUUGACCGUUAAACACUUGUUCUUUCUCCGGCUUUCAAGUCAAGACAACUUUUCGUCCACAUUAAUCGGAGAACCUGAAAUGGGAACUGGAAGGGGACCUCACCGGAGAAAGUCAAUGACCACCUCUCCCUCUGUGGCUCUGUCCCCCUCCCCCAUAUAUACCUCUUCUGACUUUUGAAUUGUCUCAAGACCGACCCUAACGCGGUGACUCGGCCAUCCCUCCAACCAGUUUGGUGAACUGGGCAAUCCAGCCAACAACAACUCACCAAUCAAUAAGUCCAAUGCAUUAGGUCCACCCUCUUGACACGUAGCAUUUUCUUUUUUUUUUUUUUCAAGAAAAAUGUUUGGGUACAUUCAGCUCCAAUCAAUACUGGUGUAUACCUCCCGAACCAUAGAUCGCUUACAGAAAUUUUUACAGAUCGCCUACCAACACAGUUUUCACAUUGGCGGCGGGAUUCGCAUACAUAAUCUUUUGUAAAAAAGUGAUUCAUUCUUAUUAAUUGGACCAACUUGUGUAAAAAAGUGAUUCAUUCUUAUUAAUUGGACCAACUUGUGUUGACAUAGCCUUUGUUGUUCAUGAAAAAGGUUGCAUUUCCUUUCAAGUCUGGAGUAGUGACUUAUGGGAAUUGGAAAAUAAGGGUGCAUUUAAUAAAAUUGAAAUUUGAGAUUUGAAAUCUAAAAUCUAAAUUUAGCAAAUUACUAAAUUAUUAAGUACCAAAUUUAAUAGUACAUUUGAGUGUAUGUCACAUUAAGUGAUAAGUGAAUAGCUUAUCACUUAUUUUUUUUAUCCAAAUUUUGUCUUAAAAAAUUCAGCGUCAUUUAAUUAGUUCAAAUAUUUUAUUUUUAGUUAUCAAACGUGUCGAAAUAAGUUAAAAUUUGAAUACACUAAAUUUAAGUGAUGAAUUAGGUUAGCAAACACGGUGGAGUCAAGCUUAACAUUUGGCUGCAAUCAAAGGGUUAACGGCCCCGUCAGUCUAUGACCAUAUUUAAUUUCAAUGAUAAUGUGAACGACUAACAUAUUUUAUCAGCCUCAUUUUUUCUCAAACUUUUUGACAGUUGCCAUUAGCCUCAUCUACCUGAUGGAAUUGGUGUCCUUUAACGUGGUCAAGUGACGUUUUCUUCUUCCAUGGGCCAAUUACUUGGGAAUUUUUUUUCUUUAAUUAUAUGAUUAAAAUUAACACACAAUAAUGACAACAAUACUGAGCACACACAGAUUAAAACUGAUCAACAACAUUACAGCUAAUAACAUUAGAAAAUGUGGGAUGGUAACUAAUAAAUUCACAUUCAGUGAGAUUUAAACCCAAGAUUUGUUUAUUUACAUGAUUUAUAAAUCGUCUCUAUUAAAUUAACCUUUUUAAGUUAGCAUGGCAAAUAAUCAUCAAGCGAUCUGUGUAUCUACAUGAGCAGAAAUUUUACAAAACCAUUAUUUGAAUUACUCUAUAUGCAUAUGUUUUGAUGCCCUCAAAUUGUUCAGAAUACUUCAAUAAACAACCUAUUCAGUCGACACAUUUUUCAGUAUUCAGUAUUUCCAAUCCUUGUGAUAAGGUGGUUAACUGAAGGGUAGAUAUUAAAGUUCUCUUGAUUAAUAUUGAUUAAGUGCAUAAGCAUAUUAUUCUUUCAUCAAAUCCAAUAAAAAAAAUUCCUUAAUCACGCGUUAUAGUGACAUUAGGGUACCCCAAAAAAAAAAAAAAUGAAUCGAAUAUUGAAGCUGUUGAUUUGCAGCAUGGACUCGUUGAGGUUAGGUCGGAGGUUUGCUCAAGGGAGGUAAUAUCUUAGGUAGUGGCUGGAGGACCGGGCGCGUCAUCUAGAUGCAGGAGUUGAGGAGAAACUUUAAAUCAGUGAUGGAAAUUUGAUGCCAAAUAAUGGCCUUAAUUAGUUCUCUUCAUGGUGCUCAGUAUAUUUUUCGUCUAUAACGAACAUAUUCAGAUGCAUGAAUUUAAUUAUGAUGCGACUUUGGGCAGUCUUUCAUGGAUUGCCUGCUAUCAUAAGUAGCAAUUAGUUAUUGAACAGGAAUUGGACUUUUAACUUCUACUAGAGAAAUGCUUUUAAGACGUUAUUGUUUUCAGGUUCAGAUAUCUAUUGUAGAGAAGAUUACUUGACGAUCUAGUAAUUAACUGGAAGAUCUUAAGAAAAAAAAAAAAGAUCAGCUAGCUACUAUAAAUGGUGAAAUUUAAAAAGCGCGGAGAAAAAAGAAAAAUUUAAAUUCAAUAUCUCUAAAUCCUGAAAUCUCAACUUUAUUCAGCAUUGAAAAAUAAUUGUUCGAGAAAUUAUUACGUGUAAAACAUACAUUCAACAGUCAGAAACUCGAUCGUGUGUGUUGACUGGUCAAAAAUAUCUUUAGGGCAGGUCAGAAGAACAUGCUGUUGACUCUUGGCUCUUCUAUCUUGAUUGGGCCAAGGUGGGAAUCCGAUAUUAUUCCACUCUCUGUUCUUUUCUUUUGGCAGAGAAUCGUAUGCAUGAUAACAAAGCGGGUAUGCAGGCUUUGGGUCUGGGGAGGAAAGAAAAGAUGAAAAAUAAAAGAAGAAUGCGUCACGCUCUGACUUGGUUCCCAAAGGCAUCCAUUAUUCAGCUGGAACUCUGCUCUGGUCAAAUUUGCGCUGUGUAGACUACGCAGUAUUGUUCCAACCAUUCCAAGUCGUAAUAAAGCAACUUGUUGGACAACAAUUUCUAUUUUGUGGACGUAAUUCAUCAUGUAAUCAUUAGCAACCCUUCCAGAUUAUGGAGAGCUAAACAAAGUUGUGGUUUCAAUUACCUUCUUAUCUUUCUAACUAUUAUUUUUUAUUUCACAUACCUUACAUGCUAAUAUAACAGGUGCUACAAUAUUUUUUUUUAAAAAAAUAUUUCAAAUAAUCUCCGAUCCAAAAUUAUUAAUUUGGAUAGAAGAGGGAUUUAAAGGUAAGAAUGUGCGACACUUUAUUCUUUUUUAUUCUGGGGUUUAGGAGAGAAAUUGAGAAUUAUAUUUACUUUGCUUGGAAGUUAGUGUAUGAAAGAGAAAUGAAGCAUCCAAAUUAUUCUGACUUUCUCUACCUGUUAAGCAAGAGGUUUACUUUUUUUUUUUUUUUGGUCUACUUUUUUCAAGUUGAGAAACUUGUACAUGUCCAUAAUUACUCGAAAACUUGCAAGGAAACUAUCUUAAGGAAAAAGAGCCAAAAUAGGUAAGUUGCCAAAGCAAAUGGUGCAAAUAUUUGCUAAUUACCUUUCUAGCUCUCGUUGUAUCCACAAUUCACGAGUUCCAAUAAUAAUAAAAAAAAAUAAAACAACAAAAAUGAAUACAAAAUUGAAGUUUUCUAAGACAUUCAUUGAUACUCGAUAACACAUCUAAAUUUCAUCUAACAUAUCGCGCGUGUGCAUGUAUAUAUUGAUAAUUAUUGCCUUCCCUUCUCCUAUUUAUAUAUAUUUUUUAAUUAAUUUUAUUUUUUAAAAAAUUUAACACUUGAAUUAUAUUUUAAAAUGUGCCUAUUGGACACCCGUUAGAUAUAUCCUUAAAAAAUUGCAAAAAGCAAAAAGUUACAAAAGUGUUAAAGGCAUUAAAGAAAAAACUUUGUUGGCCACAGCCCGCAACAACACGAAUUCAUGAAUUCUCGUACUGACCCCCUUAUUCUUCUUUAACAGUAACCAAUAACCUUAGAACUCCGCCAGUUGGCCAAUUUGCAAAGCGCAGGAUGUGGUAGCGUUCUAUUAGGUCAUUAGACAAUUAGUCUCUGACCCCAUAACCGCGUAAACAAAUUCAACCUAAAUUCUACUACUACGCAAGAAACUUCCUUCAUUUCCCAUUUUCAUUUUCCUUUCGUUUCCUUUUUCCUAAAAAUAGUUCCAAUUUCCCCCACUAUAUAUAUGUAAACCUUUCUCCUCCCUUCCCCCUCAAACCAUCAAUCACUUCAAUUUUCUUUCCCCUUUUACCAGCACAUGUCUCAGAGACCCAACGUCCCACACUUCUCCUCCGUCGCCUGCGGCCUCCAUUCCCAUCUCCUGGUUUCCAGUGAGAUGUCCUCUAAUUCCAACUGGUCUUCUUCUGCUCGUACCUUGUAGCUAUUCCACCACCUAGUCUUUUUCCUUAAAUACCCCACAAAAUUAAAAAUUAAAAACCACACACACACUAAACCCAAACAAACAAGGAGAAGAAAGGAAUCAAGAAAAACGCUACUCAUUUUUUCUGAGUUCAACAAAAGAAGAAAAUAUGGGUUUGAAAGGCUUUCUUGAAGGAGGCAUAGCUUCAAUAGUGGCUGGAUGCUCCACCCACCCGCUGGACCUCAUCAAGGUCCGAAUGCAACUUCAGGGAGAAUCCCCCGUCCCCAAACCGGCUGCUCAAGCGCUCCGACCAGCUCUAGCCUUCCACCCUGCAGCUGGUCAGGUUUCUCAUCCUCACAUUCACGUCCCUUCUCCAUCUCUUCGUCCGCCGCCGCCCCGCGUGGGACCCAUUGCCGUGGGAGUCAAGAUUGUCCAGCAAGAAGGGGUCGCCGCGUUGUUUUCCGGCGUCUCCGCCACCGUCCUCCGCCAGACUCUUUACUCCACCACCCGCAUGGGACUUUAUGAUGUUCUGAAGCAAAAAUGGACCGACCCACAUACCAACAAGAUGCCUCUGGAUAGAAAAAUCGCUGCUGGGCUCAUCGCCGGCGCGGUUGGAGCGGCCGUCGGGAACCCCGCUGACGUGGCCAUGGUCCGCAUGCAAGCCGAUGGUCGGCUCCCGGUGGAUCUGCGGCGCAAUUACAAGAGCGUGGUUGACGCGAUUGGUCAAAUGGCUAAAACCGAGGGAGUUGGCAGCCUGUGGCGCGGUUCAUCCCUUACGGUGAACCGCGCUAUGGUGGUGACGGCAUCACAGCUGGCAUCAUAUGAUCAGAUCAAGGAAUCGAUAUUGGAAACGGGUCUGAUGAAGGAUGGGCUUGGGACCCACGUGACCGCCAGCUUCGCCGCGGGGUUCGUGGCGGCGGUGGCGUCGAAUCCGGUGGACGUGAUCAAGACUAGGGUGAUGAACAUGAAGGUCGAGCCGGGGAUGGCCCCACCUUACAGUGGAGCCGUGGAUUGUGCUAUGAAAACUAUCAAGGCUGAGGGCCCACUGGCCCUUUACAAGGGGUUUAUUCCCACAAUCUCAAGGCAGGGACCAUUCACAGUGGUGCUCUUUGUCACACUGGAACAAGUCCGGAAAUUGUUCAAGGAAUUUUGAUUUUUGAGGAUGAUGACGAAGAAAUUAGAAUAAAAAGAAAAUUAUGUUUCUUCUUUUAUGUUCCUGAGAUCUGGGAGUUUGAAUAGCAAGAAAUCUGUCAGAUACUGCAUGUCCUUUGAUUUAUAGUAAAUGGUUAAUUUUUUUUAAUUUGAAUUAUAAACUUGAAACCAACGCAAUUAAAGUAUUCUAUUUUUCAUUAUUUUCAAAGGUCGUGGGAGAAUACGUAAAUCAAUGCAAACUUAUUUGUCUCUUGGACGAACAAAUUAACUUUUACUUUUGGCCGAAUAUCGAACAAAGUCGAUGCAAUUUGACAAAAGGUGAAUUUGAGUGGCUGCAAUUAGUACUAAUUGUUUGUUCAUGUGAGCUAGGGGCUCUAGCUUCUACUUACCCUUUUUUUCCUUUUUUCUAAAUGAGCGGUAUUAGUCUCAUGUUCUUGUUUUUGUAGUCCCAUAAUUACAUAUAAUAUCAGCAAAAAGUUAUAUCCCAAGCUUGAUUUUGGUUUCUUUGUUAAGCAAAAUUCAGUUCCAAAUUAGCAAUAGUAUAUAGUUGUGUUUGGACAGACAUUUUUCGUCCAAAAAUUACUACAUUUUCCGUGAACACAUUUUCCUAUCAUCUUUUUACUUCACAUACAUCAAAUCAAAUCGCUACAGUAAUUUUUUUACAAAAAAUCCAGAAAAAUGCAAUCCAAACACAACCUAUUAUAUUGUUGAAUUCAGUUGGACUUUGUACUCAAGUGGAAUAUUCGAAGCUCAUAUGCGCUGCUAAAAAGUGCUGGUAUAUUCUUAUAAGAUAUGUAUAUAUUCUUUAGUUAUGGCUAAAAUUGAGACCUUCAGAAAUUAAAAGUCUUUUUUGUUUUUUGAAUCUCACCUCUUAUGUGCCAAAAAAAAAAAAAGUUCUUUAGCUAGAAGUGAUCGUUGUAAGAUAUGUAUUUUCUCAAGCUAAGAAGUUAUUUAAGGAUCAAUAAUAAUUAUUCUUUUAUGUUUUCAAACAAACUUUAUGAAAAACGAAUGUAUUUAAGUAUAGGUAAAUUCUUUCUCAAUAAGUGAAGAGGAAAAGAACAAAAAAAAAAAAAGGGUUGCAUGAUCUUCACAUGCAAUGAAGGUAUUAUCAAACAGAGACGUUAAAUGUAACUUUUACCUGAGUCUUUGGCGUUUACGUAGGACAACAUGAAAGGUUGUGGACAUGGAUUUUUAUUUAUUUUUUGCAAUUUCUUGUCAAGAUGAGAAUGUGAAUGGCCAAUAGGCCAAACGAUGAAUGUCGAAAUGCUGCCGACCUGUCAAGAUGAGAUAAUCAUAUGAACCAUGGAAUUAUUUCUUUUUGUUGUUUAUGAAAGUGGAGAUGUGGAACCUAGCACCUUCAACGGGCAGCAACUCUUGGAAUUGGCUGUAAUCGUGGCUACGACAAACCAUGUUGGAGGAUCAAUUGGUCCAGCACAAGAAGUAAUUCAAUUCUCACGUUGGGUGGUGUUAAAUUGAAGGUAUUAUUCUUUUCUUAUAUAUAAGAAUUUGGUAAAUAGUAGUUAUGUUAAGUUUUUCCUGGACUUGUCACUCACAAAAAGUAAUACGUACUAAUUUUGAGGGGAAGGAUGGGUCGUAGAAGACGGUGUAAGCGAGAGGAAUCGGAUUUCGAGACUUCCUACUUAAACUUUGAAAAAAAAAAAAAAAAAGUAACACCAAAUAUAUAUCUCAACCAUUCCAUUAAGUGAUAGUGUAUUAACAAUACAUCAUCUAACAAUUGUAUCAGUCAUGCAAAAAUGCAGGCACAUUGGUUUUGCAAAAACCCAAAUGCUAUUCAUUAGACAAAUACGAGGGAUUAAUGUGAUAUCUGGUAAAAUGAGAAAUUAUUUAUUUAGCUUUAAUAGUUGAUUCAAGAGAAAGAAAAAACAUAUAUAGAUGGGAGUGCCACACAACUGUAGGCACAUCGGUGGGAGGAUUCUUUUAUGUUAGUUCUAAUUUCUGGAAAAAAUUUUGUGGAAGAGAGAUGUCUUUAUUCAUGAGAACAGAAAUGGUAUGUGGCAGGAGACAGGAUGCUAGGAGUUUAAUCUUAGAACAGAAUGGAAAAGGAAAACUUGCAUACCAGUUACGUAACGACAGAACAACUAUAUACGGGAUGUAUACGCUUAUUUUGGCCGCAAAGGAAAAGCAAGGACCUGAAUCAUGCAUGCCAUUCAGAAAUUUCCAGGUGAAAUAGACCGGUGGCCAACUUUCCUUCGUUCCCUGUAUUGAAGAACUUCCGUCAGGCUGAAAAUGACUGGCAAGAUAGUAUCAAGUGGAGAAACUCGCUUGAUUUCCAACGUCAAGUGGUUAAAAAUUGGGUUAAUUACAUUGAGGUUGAGUGGCUGCUAUUGGACAUAGUUGUUAAUUGCAAACGAGUAGAAAGUCAUGUAGGCCUACUCCUGUUUAAAUCUUGAUUAGUUAAUCUAAUUAUUUUUGUCUAUGAUCCGAUAUCCUUGGGUCGGUCUUGUAGCAUGUUGUCAACUAUUUCUGAUUUUUGGGUUUGAUUUUCAAUUUUUGAAAAAACCAAUUUUUUUUUUUUUUUUUUUUUACUUACAAAGAAACCCAUAAAGCAUGUAUCUUCUAACUUGUCAUAUUGACUUCUUUUUUUUUUUUUUUUCUCUUUUAAAGCAUCUUGACUUCAAAAAAUCAGUUAAGAACAAGCCACCAAUUAAAAGAAAAAACUCUCUCUCUCUCAUGUGCUUGACUAAAGAUUCCUUGAUUAUGUGCAUUUAGUAUCUCCAAACUGAAACCAUCCAAAUUACGUUGCAGAUAUUAAAAUAAAAUUAACCCUUUUAUCAAAAAAAAAAAAAAAGAAAAUUAUCAUCUCAUUGCUUAUAAAAUGAGUUGGACGAUUUUGCCUCUUCAAAAUUCAAUAGCUAUGGACAAUGAAGUGCCACCAUGACCCAAAUUAUAUUGUGUCUCAAAAAUCAAGCUAAUCACAAAGAAAAUAGAGUGCUCAGCUCAUUAUAUUAGAUUUAAUAGUAGGGUUAAUGCUGAUUAGUGUUCGUAGUUUGGUGGCCAAAGCGUGUUUGCACGUUGAGGGUUUCUUUUUGUCGUAAAUCGCUAGAAGCUGUUGCCUGUGGAUCCUAUUUUUGCCAGGCUCCAGCCCUCGGGAAUCAAACCUUCAUUCCAAUGAAAUUCCGAGGGGUGCCAUAGGAAAUUUCUGAGAUAAUUUUUGGUUAUUUGGGAUAAUUUUUUUGAAUGAUGUGAUAUAUGUGAGAUAAAAAGGUAAUUGAAAAUGUGUUAAUGAUACAAGCAAAUAAAUCUUGACAAAUAAUUGGCUAUCCAAACAUGUUAGGAGAGGGCUGGCCAAAGGUGUUCAAUUAAUUACAUUUUGUAUUAAGGUUUAAGAUAACUUUGUAAUUGGGUACUAUAAGAGCGAAUGAGUAAACAUUCUGUGCAACAAUACAUACAAACUAUUUGUGAAAGUGAAAAUUUUCAAAUGUAUGUGUUAUACCAAAUUAACAUAUGAAUGCACAUGCUGAUAUGCAUUGUGUUGCCUUAUAUUUAAAUAAUUUUCCUAUUUAACUUUAGUUGUUUACAAAACCGAUAUUGAUCUCUCUUAAUUAGUACCCGUUAGACACUUGUCAAACAGACCAUUUAUAUAUUAAAAAAAUUUUUGAGCUUCACAUUUAAUAUAUAGUUUACUAUUUUUGGAAAAAAAUUUUUAUAGUUACUUUCUUUGUCUUAACGACACAUCGAAUCUAACCUAAUCUACUCCUACAGUCCUAUUCCUACUUGGGGGGAGCCUAUUCUAGGAGGUGGUUCAACUGAGUCGAGGGAACCUAAUGAAAACUGAACCACCAUCAGACCAAAUUACACCACGCAUCCGUAUGAAUUUAGAACAAUACUCAUAUAGAGGUGCAUUGAUGGGAGGUAAGGUUCUCCCACCUCACAAUUAAUGUGGUGACUAACUCUUUUAGAGGGGGUUGGUUUUUUAUAAUUGUUCUUUAAUAGGAAUUCUAUGCUGUUCAAAAGUAGUUUGGACAAGUAACAUGAAAUGAGCGUAGUGGCGGACGGAGCGCAGAGGAUUUAUUCUAGGGAAAUGGAACUUUUGUGCAUAAGACAGCCCCAUGAAUUCAUGGAGGAAAUGGCUCCCGGGAGGUGCCUUGAUUCCCAGAGCAAUCAUUCACCUAAGAAUACAUGUCAUGCACGAUAUUAGAUGCAUGUACCUGCCUGGAUCCUGAAAACAACAUCCAAAGAAUUCCUUUGUCUUGUCCCUUUUAUAAUUUCAACCAGUCAAAUGAUUGUCCCAUCAUCUUUUUCUGUCUGGAAAAAAAAUUGUAUGCUGUUAUUGGAUGUUUGGUUUGUACCCAGAAACUAGAAUGAAUACCAAAUUCCACUUAGAAAGGCUGUCAACUAGCUAGGAGCCACCAAGCCACUAGCAGUCUAAUGCCUAAAAUAGGCUACUAUUCAACUGCAACAUUUUAGUUUAACACCAAUGCUUCAACUCAAAAGGGAAUUUUAUAUACGAAAUGAGGAAAUAAAACCAAGGAGAUUUUGAGCAAAAUAAAAAAUUUCAAUUAAUGUAAUACAAUCUUGUGGUUACACUUGACAAAAUUGUAAACCAUGAAAGCACUUCAUGGAGAUCAUCAAAGGUCAAGAGGUGGCCUAAAAGCAGGGGCGGAGGGAAGGGGGGCGGUCCAAUUGUUAAAAAAAAAUUUAUAAGUAAAAAUUUGUUUAUUAUAUUGUUUUGCCCCCCCAAAUAUUGAUAAAAAAUUUCACUUUGCCCCCCCUCCAAUUGUUAUAAAAAAAUUUCUAAGUAAAAAAAAUUUUUCUUAUAUUGUUUUGCCCCCCCAAAAUAUUGAUAAAAAUUUUCACUUUGCCCCCUCCUAAGGACCCAAAUAAUAAUGUUUGAAAGUUAUUUGGACUUUGUCCAAAUAACAGAGACUCGCCCCCCUAAUUGCAAUUCCUAGCUCCGCCACUGCCUAAAAGCAACAGUGAAGUUGCUAUAACAGGCAUUGAUUCUUUUAAACAAAACAUCAUGGUUACUGAUUGUUAAGAGACACAAAACAAAAAAGUGCUAUAAUGCUUUUUUCACAAAAUUAUCUCAAAUAAUUUACAAUCCAAACACUGUAGUUUCAUUAGAGAAAAUAUUUGCUCCAGGUUGAUAAACACCAUUUACUGCAUUCCUUUCUUAGUUGGAAAACAUUAGCGUCUCCAUUUAAUGGAGUAAUUUCAUAAACCUCCCUUGAGAUUUUUGAUAAUUUCACUUAGCACCCUUAAACUUUUAAAAAUAUCAUUUACUUCUCUUAUUUUCAAAUUUUUGUAGCAUUCUCAAACCAAUUCAAAUUAUAUGUUUACAAUACUCAUUUUAGGAAAGAGAAAAUAAUUUGUUUCCAAUAAUGCCCUUUCAUUUUUUAAUUUUUUAAUUGUAAGAAUAAUAAUCAUAUGUUAAAAAUAAGGACAAAAAAUGAAAAUGUUCUUUUUUUAAAGGAACAACAUAUAAUAAUUGCAACCAUAAACAAUAAACUUUUUUAAAAUACAAACAAAUAAUAAAAUUUUGUUUAACAUGUUUUCAAAUUAUAAAGUAAUUUUUUCCCUUUAAUGUUUGUCUAUUUGGUACUCUAAAGUCACAUGGUAAGAAAUAUGAUCCGUUUGGAUGAGCUAUUUCUAGAGAUGUUUUUGAAAUAUUUUACUGUAACAAUGGACCUGUUUGGAAUCGAAUUUUUUGGCCAAGUUUUUUAGUUACUAGUUUUUUAACAACUUUACCUACAGGAAUCCAAAAAAACUUAUUAAAAUUUUUAACCUACAUAUUUCAAAAUAUCUAAUACACAAAAAACUUCAUUUUUUCUUCUUCAUUCUCCCCCGUCCCGAUCAACCACACCUUCAUCGCUGGCCACCACCUCCACCGCUACUUUCGGCGUCGGCCACCUACUCCGACGCCGGCCUUCCCCUUUUUUUUUUUCCUUCCUUUCUCCCUCUCCAUCUCCCUCUCCCCCUCUCCUUCCCUCCCCUCUCUCCUUCCCCUCCCUGGCUACCCUCCCCCUUUCCUAGCUGCUAUCUGGUCAUGCGACCGGAUUGGGCAAAAGGGGAGGGGGAAGGAAAGGAGAGUAGAAAAGGGGAGGAGAUGAGGAGAGGAAGAUGGAGAAGAGGGGAAAAGAAAAGGCAAAAAAAAAAAAAAAAAAAGUGCACGCCAUGGCUACUGGUUCUCUAGCUUCUGGAGGGAGAGGGGGAGGGUGAAGGGGAGUAGAGGGGGAGAGGGGAGCAGAAGGAGAAAAGGGGAAGAGAAAAAGAAAAAAAAAAUUGGGACCAUGGUUGCUGGUUCAUCUAGUACCGCGAGGGAAGAGGGAGAGGGAAGGAAGAAGAAGAAGAAGAAAGGAAAGAACGAGAAAAAGGAAAGAAAAAAAGAGAAAAAGAAUGAAAAGAAAAAAAAAAUGGUAGGACCAUGGCUGCUGGGAAGGUAGAGGUAACGGCGGAGGGAAGGGGGAGGGGGAAGGAAGAAGAAGAAGAGAGGAAAGAAAAGAAAAAGGAAGGAAAGAAAAAGAAAGAGAAAAAGAAAAAGAAAAGGAAAAAAAAGUUUUUCAUCUUAAAAAAUUUUUCCAAAAAUUUCUACAGUGCACUACAGUAAAGUUUAGAAGUUUUAGACAAAUUUUCAAGAACGUCAAGUUCCAAACGGGGCCAAUGUAGUUGAAAAAUAUUUAUUAUAGAUGUUUUUAAUAGUGUUUUUGAAAAUAUAUUUUGAAAUAUUUUUAAAAUUUAAAAUUUUAAUGGAAUAUUUAUAAAAUUUUAUAAUCACCCAUCACUAUCCCACCACCCCUUCUCUUCUCCCUUAUCCUCCUUCUACUUCUUCGUCCUCCCUCCUUCCCCCUCUUCCCCUCCCCUUUUUCAUGUCUUUCUUUCUUCCUCUUUUUUCUCCUCUCUUCUCCUUCCUCUUUCUCCUCUAUCCCUCCCCUCCUCCCUACCCUCUCUCACCACCCCUCUCUCUAGUCGUGAGUUGCAACUAGAAAAUGGACGCUGCUUGCGACCAAAUUCGGUUGCAAUUGGAAGGGGGAAGGGGGCAAUGAGAGAGUCAUGAGGAGGAAGGAGGAGGGAAGAGGAGGAAGAGGGCAGGGGAGGGAAGAGGAAGAAAGGGGAAGGGAAGAGGGAGGAUGAGAAAAAAGGGGAGAGACGAGAGAAGGAGAAGGAACAGCGGGUGGUAGUGUGUUUUUAUUGGUUGUUGUUGUUGUUGAUGGUGGUGGUAUAUAUAUAUUUUUUUGAUAUUUGAAGUUGUUUUUAAUACAUUGUAUGAAUGUGAUAUUUUUGAGGUUAUUUUUAUUUGUGUAUUAUUAUAACAUAGUAUAUGAAAAACUUUUUUUUUUUGAAAAAAUGAGGAAUCCAAAUGGAGUUAUUGUUAUUGUUUUUUUUUGACAAAAAUGUAGAUUUCUUCUACAAAAGUGUUGUAAUUUAGGAGACUAUUUAUAAUUUAAAAACUUCAGUGUUUGUCCAACCUUAUUUAUCCAUAUGUUUAUCACAUGCUCUUAGGUUAUCGAAUGAGAAAAAUCUUUCUUUUUAUGUAAAAUGGUUUGAUUGAAUCUAAUAAAUUUUAUGAACUAUUUAGAAUCUUUAAUUUUUAUUUAUUUGAAUCAAUGGCUUGAAAAUUUAGAAAAGGGAAAAAUUUUUAAAUUACAUUGAGAAUUUAUUUGAGUUGUUUAGAAGACAAAAAAAAAGUUAUUUUUCACAUCUUUACAAUAUUGCAAAUAAUUUUCACAUACUUUGUUAAUUAUUUAUGAUUUUUCAAUUUAAAAUUUUGCCUCCAAAUUGUAGAUAAGAUUUGUUAAAGAUUUCUCAACUCUAAACUUGUAAUUUUUUUUUUAACUAAAAAACACAUCCAUCAAGUUUUUAAAUAUAAAAGGAUUUUAAAUUGAUUUGUCAUUACAGCUAAGGGAUCACAAUAAAAGAGCAACUUUAGAAUAAAAUAACUUUCUCUUUCCUAAACAUAGUAUUUUAAUGAUAUAAUUAGAAUUGGGUUGGGAAUGUGAUAAAAAUUUGAAAAUAAGGGGGAAAAGUGAUAUUUUUAAAACUUUAAGAGUACUCAGUGAAACUAUAAAAAACUUCAAGGGAAAUUUCUGAAAUUAUCCCCCAUCUGAUCCUCCUGUUUGUGGCUCAUAUUUACUUGAAGAAAUUAGAGGUGUCAAAAUGGUUGAUUUGGACGGGUUUGGAUGAGUUGAAAUAGAUAAUGGGUAUAAAUAAGUUAAUUCAUUUAUACCCAUUUAAUUAGAUAGGUAUAAAUGGGUAAUUCAAAAAAUGAAUUGGGUAAUUCAAUUACCAUUUAUAUCCCAUUUAUUUUAACUUUUUAUAAACUCAUUUAAAUUUAUUUUUGCAAACUAAAUUAUCAAUUGAUACCACUCUUUGCAUCCAUCAUUAUCAAUAAGCCUAAUUACUAAAAGAAUAUAAAAAUUUGAACUAAUUACCAUGAAAGUUAAUAUAAAAACUUAAUCUAAAAACUUUGAACCGCUUACAAUUUUUUUGUAUGUAAAUUUAAAAUUUCAUUUUGGAAAGGUAGGAGAGGAGACUAAAACUUAUCAUAAAUUGGUAAUGCUAAAAAAUGAACAAAUUAAUAAACUAUGAAAAGAUAAAAUGAUAAGAUAAAACCAACAAAUCUUAUACAUAUAUAAAAUGGGAAUCGCUUGUGAACAGUGCCUAUGGUCCGGUUAUGCUGUGAUUUUUGUGAGCCUGAGGGGUGUUAUGGACCUUAUGGUCUUUUGGAGUCGAGUGGGAGUGGUUUUGCUGGAAAUUCACCGUCCCCACGUGUUGUUCUCGGACGGCAACAAGUUUAGCGGUGAGUUGAGCUGGAUGCAUCAAGCGCUGCUUCAAAGUAUUGCAAUCUUCAUUACUUUUUCUUAUUGUUUUCUUAGCCGGGAAUCGCUUGUGAACAGUGCCUAUGGUCCGGUUAUGCUGUGAUUUUUGUGAGCCUGAGGGGUGUUAUGGACCUUAUGGUCUUUUGGAGUCGAGUGGGAGUGGUUUUGCUGGAAAUUCACCGUCCCCACGUGUUGUUCUCGGACGGCAACAAGUUUAGCUGCUUCAAAGUAUUGCAAUCUUCAUUACUUUUUCUUAUUGUUUUCUUAGCCGGGAAUCGCUUGUGAACAGUGCCUAUGGUCCGGUUAUGCUGUGAUUUUUGUGAGCCUGAGGGGUGUUAUGGACCUUAUGGUCUUUUGGAGUCGAGUGGGAGUGGUUUUGCUGGAAAUUCACCGUCCCCACGUGUUGUUCUCGGACGGCAACAAGUUUAGCGGUGAGUUGAGCUGGAUGCAUCAAGCGCUGCUUCAAAGUAUUGCAAUCUUCAUUACUUUUUCUUAUUGUUUUCUUAGCCUUGUCUCCGUUACUUUCUCUUAUUCUUUUCUUGACUUUCUCUACCCAGCGUUUUUUCCGUUCCUCAUUCUCCAAUCUUUUUUCUCUAUUCUUUUCUUAGCUUCUCUGCCCAGUGUUUUGCCCUUUCCUCGUUUUCCUAUUGAGUUCUCUACUAGACUGCAAAUAAUUGAGCAAGUGAAUUGCGCAUCAGAGCACGGGUGCUUUGCAGAUGUUUAAUGUUAGUUAUGCUCUAUUUUAUUGGUUUGCAUAGCCAUUCAUGCAGAGCAACAAAUCAAAGUAAGGCUCAUGUAUCCGCGCUCUUGAUGUCUGACCCAGAAGUUUGGCCAUGAAUAUAUAUGUUUGCAUGUAUGGAUGAAUGACGACAAUUAUUCCUGAUAGUUAGUCUUGCUGUAAUUGCUCCUUCUGUUGCUGCCAUUUCUUUGCUUUAAUGCAGCUGCUGCUUGGGUUUGGUAUAGCAAUGGUGGUCAAAAAAUGCAUCAAAUAUUUGCUAAGGCUGAAAAAUAAAACAUUCCAAUACAUACAAGGUUUCAGCAAUAUUAAUGCAUGAAAGUCCCCAACAAUAAGUUCAAUAAUCAAAAGCAAGCUCAAAUUUCUUCUAAAUGGAUGGAAGGCUUGAAAAAGAUAAUUCUAAAUGAAUUAAUUAGAUUUGAUAAUAAAUGGAUAUUAUUACCAUUUAUAUCCAUAUGUCAAAAUUUAAAGAUACCCAUAUACAACUAUUCAUAGGUGGGUGUGGGUAAAUUUAGCUAAAUGCGCUGCAACGAAGCAGCCAUUCCUCAAUUCUUCUAUCGUUAUCGGUGUAUGAGAAAUCGAAGGGGCAUCAUUUGGAGUUUUCCUUCUAUGUCUGUGUAUUUCUUUACAAUUCUAGUAGAAGCAUCCUAGGAUAGCAUCGACCGCACUUCCAUAAUCGAUCCGGGAGGUUCCGCGUCUUUUUGUUGUAGUGCAUUCCCGAGCAAUUGUUGCAUCCGUGAGGCAAAAAUAUCAUCUAAAACCUGCAAAUCCGAAUCUUUGUUGUCAUGGUAGUAUUUAUCAUAUUACUGGAUCUUAUUAGACUCUCAUCUUUACUUCCAUAAAUCAAGGUCAAAUCAGUCGGAAACCAUUCAAUUACUGGAAUAAAAA
rnacentral:lncRNA from 1 species